AUGGCUGCACCGGCGAGCGAGGACGAAAGCAAGGACGUGGACGCCUUCCUGUCGUCGUGCGCGGCGUCGGGCGAGGCCGCGUAUGCCGCCGUCGAGGCCGUGCUCGAGCGCCUCCAGGCCCGCGCCUCCCGCGCCGCGGCCCGACGCCUCCUCGGCGCCGUCCGCCGCCGCUUCGACGCCGGGCAGGAGCACUGCUUCCGCACCUUCCACUUCCGCGACGUCGUCGUCGACCCGCACCUCCAAGGGUUCCAGCAAAGCACGAAGCUAACAAUGAUGGAGAUACCUAGCAUUUUCACUCCUGAAGAUUGGUCCUUCGCUUUUUAUGAGGGCCUUAAUCAGCAUCAAGAUUCCACUUCCAGGGAUAAGACGUAUGCAGAGCUGGGGUGUGGCAAUGGUUGGAUAUCUAUUGCGCUUGCAGAGAAAUUGUCCCCUUUGAAGAACCCAAGGGCCAUCAAGAUUGCAUGGAUAAAUCUGUACUUGAAUGCCCUAGACGACAAUGGUCUCCCGGUCUAUGACAGGGAGGGAAAAACAUUGCUGGAUAGAGUUGAAUUCCAUGAAUCUGAUCUUCUUUCAUACUGUAUAGAUAACAAGAUAGAACUUGAUUGCAUUGUUGGCUGCAUACCACAGAUUCUUAACCCCAAUCCAGAGGCAAUAUCAAAGAUUAUGACUGAAAAUUCAAGUGAGAAGUUUUUGCACUCCUUGAGCAACUACUCUGCUCUUCAGGUUUUUUUUGAGGACCAGUUUGGCCUCGGGUCGAUUGCUCGGGCAGUUGAAGAAGGGAUAGCUGUCAUAAAGCCUAUGGGUAUCAUGAUAUUCAGCAUAGGAGGCCGACCAGGUCAAGGUGUCUGUGAACGCCUAUUUCUACGCCGUGGAUUCCAUAUCAGUAAGCUCUGGCAAACAAAAAUUAUGCAGGCUGCCGGCACUGAUAUUUCAGCUUUAGUUGAAAUUGAACAAAACAGCCCACAUCAAUUUGAAUUUUUUAUGGACCUUGUCGGGGACCAAUCUGUCUCUGCACGCACAGCCCAGGCAUACAUGAAAUCUGGUGGCCGUGUUUCACAUGCUUUGUCUGUGUAUAGCUGUCAACUUCACAAACCCAUUCAGGUGAAGAAAUUGUUUGAGAUUCUUAAAGAUGGGUUCAAUGAAAUCAGCAGCUCCCUUGAUUUGUCCUUUGAUAAUGAUUCGGUUGCUGCUGAAAAAAUGGCCUUCCUAGUAUACCUUGCUAGUGUUUUGAAAGAGAAUAAGUCCAAUCCUUGUGAGCCUCCAUUUGGAUGUUUAAACUUCCGGAAUCUUGUUGCUGAAUUUAUGAAGAGCUACUACAACAUCCCAUUAACUUCUGAUAAUGUUGCUGUAUUCCCUUCUCGUGCUAUUGCCAUAGAAAUUUCUCUUCGACUGUUCUCACCGGCGCUUGCAAUUGUGGAUGAACAUCUGACUAGACACUUGCCGAAGCAAUGGUUAACAUCCUCAGCAAUUGAGGUUUAUUCUGAUCUGGAAGUUGGUUUUGCCAUAUCUGAGGAUGAAAUUGUCUAUAAGGCGUUGUCACAAACUAUUGAGCUAUUGGAAGAACAUACUUCUGUGAUCAGCCAGCAGUAUUAUGGCUGUCUUUUUCGCGAGCUACUGGCGUUCCAAAUUGACAACCGGCAUGCACAGCGAGAGAGACAACCUACAGAAGUGAUACCUCAGAAGAUGAUAGGAUUUUCUAAUUCAGCUAUGUCAACCCUAAAAGAAGCUGAAUUUUUCGUUCCUGAUUCCAAGGAAUCUAGUAUCAUUCAUAUGGAUCUAGACCGCAGCUUCUUGCCAGUACCUUCUGUGGUGAACACUUCCAUUUUUGAAAGUUUUGUUAGGCAGAACAUCACGGAUUCUGAAACUGAUGUUCAUUCGGCAUUAAAAAGCUGGUUAGAUGGCUUCGGUAUGGAAAUUAUCUAUGGAAGCACCUGUGUUGCACUCUUCAACAAGCUUGUUCUUUGCUGCGUGCAAGAACAAGGUACCUUCUUUUUCCCUUUGGGCACCAAUGGGCACUAUGUCUCAGCAGCAAAGUUUAUGAACGCAAACAUCUUGACCAUUCCAACAAAUUCAGAUUCAGGAUUCAAGAUUGAACCAAUGGCUCUAAACAAAGCUCUAAUUGAGGAAGAAAAUUGGGCCUGGGUCUAUAUUUCUGGCCCUACAAUUAACCCUUCUGGUUUCCUGUACAGUGACAAGGAGAUACGAGAUCUGCUUUCUAUUUGUGCUAUGCAUGGAGCUAGGGUAGUGAUAGAUACCUCCUCCUCUGGUCUGGAAUUCCAAACCGACCACUUGGCUUGGAGGAAUUUGGAAAGAUUUUCUUAUAAUGUUUGCUUAGAUCCCCCAUUCACAGCUUUUAUGCUCGGAGAGCUGUCCCUUGGGCUGACUGUGACUGGCCUUGAUUUCGGGUUUCUAAUUUUCAAUGACCUAUCUGUCGUUGAACAUAAUCUUGCAAACUUGAGUCAGCCAGAUAGCACAUUGAAGUACACUUUCAGAAAGCUAUUGGAUCUUAAGAACAAGAGGGAUCAACACUUCUCUAAUCUCAUCAUGGAGCAAAAGGAGACACUGAAAAAUCGUGCCGACCACUUGGCAAAGACACUUGUGAGCUGUGGCUGGAAUGUUCCUGGCUGUUAUGGUGGUAUCUCGAUGCUGGUGAAACCGACAGCCUACAUUGGCAAAUCAUUCAAGACUGAAGGUUUUGAAGGCACGCUCGAUGGUUGCAACAUCAGGGAAACCAUUCUUAGAUCCACUGGACUUUGUAUAAGCAGUAGUAAAUGGACCGGGAUACCGGACUACUGCCGGUUCAGCUUUGCUUUAGAGAGCAGCGAAUUCGAGCGGGCAAUGGGCUGCAUAACCAGGUUCAAAGAGUUUGUUCUGGGAGUCGACAUGCUCACAUGA
rnacentral:rRNA from 1 species